UACGAAGGGUGCAAGCGUUGAUCGGAAUUAUUGGGCGUAAAGGGUGCGUAGGCGGUUGUUUGAGUCUGUCGUGAAAUCCCCGGGCUCAACCUGGGAAUGGCGAUGGAUACUGGGCAGCUAGAGUGUGGCAGAGGAUGGUGGAAUUCCCGGUGUAGCGGUGAAAUGCGUAGAGAUCGGGAGGAACAUCAGUGGCGAAGGCGGCCAUCUGGGACAACACUGACGCUGAAGCACGAAAGCGUGGGGAGCAAACAGG
rnacentral:rRNA from 1 species